AUGGUAACAAAUAUUUACACUUCUCCUGUGUCAGAAUACCAUUUUGGCAGAGAAGACUCUUACACUUAUAUUUCUUUUGCUUCAUAUUUGUUCCUAAUACAAACUCCAAUUGUAGCUAGACAUGCCAUCAAAAAGCAAACUAGAAGAAAAUUCUUAUUCUUAUACUUACAUAAAAUUUUAUUGACAAGAAAAUAA